rnacentral:rRNA from 1 species
GAUGAACGCUGGCGGCGUGCCUAAUACAUGCAAGUCGAGCGAACGGACGAGAAGCUUGCUUCUCUGAUGUUAGCGGCGGACGGGUGAGUAACACGUGGAUAACCUACCUAUAAGACUGGGAUAACUUCGGGAAACUGGAGCUAAUACCGGAUAAUAUUUUGAACCGCAUGGUUCAAAAGUGAAAGACGGUCUUGCUGUCACUUAUAGAUGGAUCCGCGCUGCAUUAGCUAGUUGGUAAGGUAACGGCUUACCAAGGCAACGAUGCAUAGCCGACCUGAGAGGGUGAUCGGCCACACUGGAACUGAGACACGGUCCAGACUCCUACGGGAGGCAGCAGUAGGGAAUCUUCCGCAAUGGGCGAAAGCCUGACGGAGCAACGCCGCGUGAGUGAUGAAGGUCUUCGGAUCGUAAAACUCUGUUAUUAGGGAAGAACAUAUGUGUAAGUAACUGUGCACAUCUUGACGGUACCUAAUCAGAAAGCCACGGCUAACUACGUG